CCCUGGUUCUUUUCCUGGGUCGGGAAGUUCCCCUGGAGAAGGGACGGGCUACCCACUCCAGUAUUCUUGGGCUUCCCCAAGUGGACAUUUCCCCAAGGUUUCAUAACUUUGGUAAUAAAGGAGAAAGAGAAUGCUUGGAAAAAAGGACGUAAAGCAUAUUUUUGGAAAGCGUCAGAGCUCAGCGGUUAUGAGCCUGGGCUGAGGUUUCAGUUUUGCCUCCUUUUCUUGCAGGUUGACCUCUAGUGAAGCGCGCAGCCACGUUUGAAUCCGUCUCUUCCUAUGUGUGGUAGGGAUGAUGACAGUACUGAACGAGACCCCAACGGAAGGAGUGUAUCGUCCGAAUGGAUGCCCCAGACUG